GAUAAAGGUUAGAUUAUGAACAGACCUUGGUCUAUCACAUUACCUUCCAAUGAAUCAAUUGGAUACUCAUAAUCAAACCUCAAUGUAUCAUACAAGUAUGUUGGAACUCCAGAAAUGGGUUGUGGAUCAUUGUAGUCAAAUUGUUCUAUGUUCGGAAGAUCAUUAUUAGCUAGAAAACAUUCCCCUUGAAUAGAAGCACCAUGCAUCUCCUCACCUACAGAUGCAACAAUUGAUCCACUUCUCAAAGUUAGAUUUCCCGGGCUUGAUUGUGGACCAUUGACUACAUUGUGACUCGUCGCUCUCCAUGUAGUACUUGGC
rnacentral:misc_RNA from 1 species